rnacentral:lncRNA from 1 species
CCUCUUGCGGCCGCCUCCUCGGCCGUCAUGUCCAUGAAUAUUACUAGGUCAGCCGCCGGCAGCCCCACCUCCACCGCUCGGCAGUAGUCCAUGGACAGGUGCGGUACGCCCUUGGCUGCGGUGUACGCCACACCGCUGUAGCUGUAACGGUCCACAACCAACGUCGUGUGGCCGGACAGAAGCCGCAGCAUCUCCUUUCUGACAGUAAGCGGAGCGAUUCCCUAAUCAAUAUUCGUGCAAUGUUUAGUUUUGGGUCGUGUCUAUGGCAUUGGUCGAGGUGCUGGUGGCGCUUAAGGUUGAACAAGGUAAGGGAGAUAUCCUGUGAUGUACGUGGUGGCAGCAGAGUGACAGGUUCCAAGGGAAAGAAGGAGCGUUCAGGAAAGACAACCAACUGGUUCCGGAGGGUCCAUGGUGGAACGCUCUCGUGUCACAACGUGGGUGGGAGGAGGGCUGCACUGCGCACAUGUUGCCAGGCCUAUUUGCGUGCUUUAACGAAUGAUAAGGCAAUUGCGCGUGAUACGCCUUCAACCGCCCCCCUUGACAAUCCCCGUGGUGCCGCGGGCUGCUCACCGCUUUUCAAAACGAUUUGCCGUGAAGAGGAGAUGGAUGGCAGUGUCGUCGUGGUCAGCCCCGUUGUGCAGGUAAUCGUUGAUUGUCUGGCCUAUCCUUGUCGAUCUAUCAGGAAAGCACCAGUGCUCCACCUUAACCUGUCCGACAACCGAGGUGAGCGCCGCAGAUGCCACCAGAGUUUGCAGCCACGCGGCAAAAAGUGUCGCCACGGUCCAGGAACAAGUCAGGGUUUUCUAACCACCAAGUAUAGAACUCACUCCGCGUCUCCUGAGGUGAUCCACAAGCAAGUUGCUCUGUGUGCUCUUCCCACAGCGGUCGAUGCCCUCAAAAACAAUGAAAGCUCCGCGGGAGCGGACCUGUGCACUGACGUCAAGAGCUGAGUAGUUACAUUUCAUCAGUCGGGUGCUUUGACAUGCGCUUUCUCUAAAUGGUGCCCGGGAUAACAAUGGCCAAGUUCUUACAGCGCCCAAUGCCGACAUCCUCCUUGUCAAGGCCCGCAACUACAGGGUUACAGUAUAAGGAAAUCAUAAGCUUUGAUUUGCAUUGAAGAUGUUAAUUUCGCACUCGACAUACUUUGCCAUUUGGUUCAACAAUCGUCGCACGUAAGCGUUACUAAGACGCACGUCAGUUGAUUUUCUUUAAAUUUGCACGAUAUGCCGCCGAUGUCACUCACACAAAGAGAAUUCCAACCGUAAUCAAAGAUCGUCGCUACCCCAUGCGCACGUCAUAAACCACACCCGUCUCCUUGCGCCGCCCUUCAGCCACAGUAUCGCCAUCGCCCCUAGCCCUAAGCCGUUACUCGAGCGGCUUCCGGCAGCACAGCUACCUGCUGCAUUUUCUCUGCCUCUCCAAUGAACACGUCGGCGACUGCAUCCGCCUCCCCGGCGGCCGCCGCGGACUUCUCAUCGGGAAAGCUACUCUGUUGACCGCCCGCAGCUGUUACCACCCUGCGCAACGGGCAACCUCAUUAGCAUAGCUACAGGCGAUGUUUGAUCCAACACUCAUCCCAACAUGAAUAGCCGUUACCGUGAUAACCUCACACGGGUAACUCACGUGGGCAAGUCAAUGGGCUUGUAGUCCCACAGCCGCCCCAGCGCACUGCCCGCAAGCGCACGUUGCACCACCGGCUCCGCCACAGCCGCUACCUAAGUUAGAGGAAAGCACUGGAAGCAAAGUUAGUGUGGAUGAGUUGGUGGGGCCUUGUUACUGCGUAUCUGCAUGGCUGUAGCUUGGGAAGUCUGUUUGCCGUAAAACAAACUCGUGCGGGGUUGACCAUUAAACCUGGGAGCUGGCGGACCAGCGACGGACAGACAGAGCAGCUUGAUUAUGAUAAUGUUGCAACGAGGGACUUUGCUGACAGACUGACCGCCCGGCUGACCUUUUGGUGGAUGUCGUCAAUGGUGCCAGAUGCGUCAAUGACAGCCCAUCGCUCAUCCCGCAGCGCCUCGAAGGCCUUCAUUACCUGCAGCAGCAGCAGCAGCGCCGCAGCCACAGCAAUCAUGUGCUACAUGCCACGGCUAAUGAAUGAAAAGCCACGACAUGCACAGCACUUAGUAGCACGUCUCUUAAGACUGGCCAAUAUGGUAGCGGGCGCGCCAAGGCUAUGAGCACUUAAGUGCACACAUCCUAUUGUCCCCCAGUGCGGCCACACCUCCAUGAACUAGCUGACACUCGGGCGCCUUACCUUCUGUUGGAAAUCCACCUUCUCGUACCUCUCUUGACCGUACCCUCCUCGCGCCGCUGUCGCUUCGGCCGUCAUGUCCAUGAAAAUCACCAGAUCAGCCGCCGGCAGGCCCACCUCCACCGCUCGGCAGUAGUCCAUGGACAGGUGCGGUACGCCCUUGGCUGCGGUGUACGCCACACCGCUGUAGCUGUAACGGUCCACAACCAACGUCGUGCGGCCGGACAGAAGCCGCAGCAUCUCUUCCCUUUGGACGGCGGCGUACAGGGAAAGCUUAUUCAAACCAGACCUCUAUGCUGUGUGCGGGCGUUGCGGGGUGUGCCAAGCUCAGAGCACGCCACACAUAUUCUCCGCAUGAAUCCGCAGGGGAGCCCUGCCAAUACAAUACGCCGCUGACACUAGUGUCAAGUCUUGAAGGAUACAAGAAGAGCCGUCCUUGAGCGCGCUUUUCGACGGGCCCGCUUAGCGACAGACCCGCAGUGUAACGCUCUUCCUUAAGUCACUUCUUAGCCAUGCUAUGGGCCUGCCGCCUGCUCCUGCGAUUUUCAGUAACUUACCACAUGGCCCUCGUCGUCAACUCCUUCAAGCUACCCACAACCGGGAUGCGGAACAAGCCCCUCCGUGAUAAGGCCCUUCCCAACACGAUGACUGCCCCAUCGGCAAACGGCAGCUGGUCCCUCAGGAUAGUGGUUUCC